AAUAUCUAAUAUAUAGUAAAAACCCAAGGAAAAACCCAUUAUUAGAUUACCAGAGCCUUUGGUUUUAUCUCAGGCUUUGGAGUUCACACAUGGCGUGUUCAUGGAAGUUCUUGUUUUUAUCAUUUGUUCUUUUUGUUGCUCUUAUUGUUCCUAAAGUCAAGGCUGAUGUUGGGUCUUCGUUGGAUGAUGAAGUUGAAGCUGUUAGAUCGGAUGUUCACCCCACUUUCUCAAGAAUUGGAACAUCUUAAGUCCAAGAUCCAAUCUUUAGAAUCAAACGUUGAGGAGACUGCGCGAGCACUGAAGGAAAGGAUGAGGUGAUCGCUGACAAAGAGAAAAUAAUAAAAGAAAAGUCGGAGAAGGUUAAGUCAUUGUCAUCUGAGUUGGCCUCUCUACAGAAAAAGGGAACACUAGAUGCUGAGGAGCAAGUUGGAAAAACUCGGGCACGAGCUGAUCAGCUUGAAAAGCAGCUUGAGACACUAAAAGCGGAAGUUGAAAUGAAGACUAAGGAGAAAAGAGACUUUGAAGCUCAUAAAGGUGACACCGAGAAAAGAGUAGCUGAGUUGAAUUUGAAGGUUGGCGAGCUUCAAAAGACCAUUGAUGAACAGGAGGAGAAACUGAAGAAAACUGAACGAGCUCUUCAACUUGUUGAGGAGGAAAUGAUUAGAGCAAGGUUUGAAGCAACAUCGGAGAUGAAGGAGCUCAUAGAGGUAGAUGUUGUAGCCCCUAUGUCUUAUCAUGUGAAUUCAGGAUUAUAAUACUAUUGAAGAUAGGAGGUUCCAUCUCAAUUUUGCAGCUAGCUGACUAACGCUGUGAUUCAUCUCAAUGUUGCUAUCCACCAUGGUAUCUUGAAGCAACGGUUGCCCCUGACAGCGUGCGAAACAAACUGAUGGGCAAGACACUCAAUAUCCAAAUGAAGAGAUCGUUUGCGAAAAAUCAAGAUACCAUUCCAGGAAAGUUGUUUAUUUUGUCACUCAGAAACAACGAGAGAAUAAGUGAUCCACCGUUGUCAACUACUGGUAUGGACUCUACAGAAAGCAGCAAACGCAAGCUUCACCAGGUUGCCGUGAAGGAAGGAAACCAUCAGGCCACAUCCAACAAAGACAAUAUUUCCUAUCAACAACACAGCAUGGGAUUGAGGUCCCUGAAAAAGGACUAAAAGGAGUGAGGUUUUGCAGUGUAAAUACUACUGUUUUGCAAUAUGGUUGGCUUUUUAAAUGCACUAGACGCUACUUUUGGUACUGCUUCCGCGCAUUUUCACUGCUUCUCGACUUUUGCUCUAUCCCUUUUCAAAAUAGUCAAAAACACUAUUAGUGCACUACCAGGUACUUUUUGCCAAACACUACUCAAAAUCAGCCUACAAAGAAAGCAGCAUACAGAACGCGAUGUCAUACUCAUGAUGUAGAUACUAGAGCAUGUAAAUAGUUUCCAUGUAAAUAAUGCAGCGAUCAGUGUAUGUAAACAGCAUAACACUUGCCAACCAUAAUAUCUAUAAAUCACGCUAUUUCAGCUUUUGUUCAUCAGUGUAGUGUUAUUUGUCAAGUUUCUGUGAUCCUUUAUGUUAAUCAAGAGGAAAGCAUUUCCUAAUCAAUUCAACCCGCCACUAUUAUUUGUGGUCCUUUAUGUUAAUCAACAGUAUAUGAGGAAAACCUUUUAUUUAUAGAA